rnacentral:miRNA from 1 species
UUUGUAUUACGUUCGGAAAUUGUUACCAUUUUUGAGCCGAAAAUGGUAGCAAUUUCCGCACGUAAUACAAA